UACGGAGGAUCCAAGCGUUAUCCGGAUUUAUUGGGUUUAAAGGGAGCGUAGGCGGCCUAUUAAGUCAGGGGUGAAAGACGGUGGCUCAACCAUCGCAGUGCCUUUGAUACUGAUAGGCUUGAAUAUAGUUGAGGUAGGCGGAAUGUGACAAGUAGCGGUGAAAUGCAUAGAUAUGUCACAGAACACCAAUUGCGAAGGCAGCUUACUAUGGUUUUAUUGACACUGAGGCACGAAAGCGUGGGGAUCAAACAGG
rnacentral:rRNA from 1 species